CCAAGGAACAGGACUGAAAACCACUGGCUUAGGGUAUAGAAAAAACCAGCAGGCUAAUCAUAAAAUGUUAUGCUAAACAUUGAUUCUAUUUGAAACACACGAAUAUGCACUGGUACAUUGGAGCCUUAAAUAAUAUUCACUUUAUUUUUAUUCAAACUUUAAAUUCUAGAGAGAUGCAAAAGCAUUGAUUGACAUCUCACUAAAGACACAGAAUAUCCUGUCAAUUCCACUUUGCAGGGCCCUUGCAGUUAAAUGAAACACACCUCUGACUUGACACCAUGACUUGGCUACUAGUGCAAUACUAAAUCUUAAAAAUACUGCAUCUUUAACACAAGGAAGACACCCAAGGACAGAAUAGAGAACAGCUGGUGAAGUGAUUAAAUGUAUAGGAGUAAUUGUUCAGGGCCAGCGGGAGAGGCUGUUGUUGAGAAUAAAAACAAAGACUGCUUCAAGGAGGUUUUUCCCAAGACUUUCAAAAAUCAACACAGGCAUUAAUGGUAUCCACAGCAUGCCAGAAUUAUUUAAGUAUAAAAUGAGAAGUGUGGGUAGAGAGACUAGAUCUAAAAUUAAACACAGACAAUGCUCUCAGGCAAAUGACACAGCCAAUCAAACAGCAUUUUUGUUUAUGGUACUAACGGUGUGCCCAUUGUCUGUCGGCGGGAAUUUAGUGAUUGUGAUUUACAGUACAUUGUGAAAUGUUGUAAUUCACCUCUGAACUUUAUAAAAUCCCAAAUGGGAAAAAUAUUUAAGGAACAUAGGCUGCUGUUGCAAUCUACAUAGCAGUUUCCCAACCUCAAUGGAGGCACCCCAUCACUAACAUCCAAACUAUUUCUAAUCAAACACACCUGAAUAAACGUAAUAAAUAGAUUGGUAUGGUAAGGGAGAAAUCCAAAAUGUAUACUGUCGGGGUGCCUCAAGGAACAGAGUUGGGAAACAUUGCUAUACAGAAUGUAUUGAACAUGAACAUGAUUCUAUCUUUUUCAAAAUGAUUUUAAGCAUAUUAUCUCCUAUACAGAAUGUUCUUGGGCAAGCUGUCAUCUCUGAAAAAUGUUUUUGAGCAUGUUCUCUUCUAUAAAGAAUGUUUUUAUGCAAGUUCUUUCUAAUACAGAAUGUUCUUGAGCAUGCUGACUUCUAUGCAAAAUGUUCUUGAGCAUGUUCUAUACUAUUGAAAUGUUUUGGGCAUGUUCUCUCUGAUACAGAAUGUUCUUGAGCAUGCUCUCUCCUAUGCAAAAUAUUCUAGAGCAUAUUUUUCCUAUGCAUACAGUCCUUGAGCAUGUUCUAUACUAUUCAAAAUGUUCUUAAGAAUGUUCUCUCCAUUCAUGAAUAACAUAAACAUGCUCUCCCAGGUAAAAUGUUCUUGAACAUAUUCUCUCUUACGCAGGAUACUCUUGAGCAUGUUCUUUCCUAUGCAUAAUGAUCUUGAAUGUUCUCUCCCAUGCAAAAUGUUUUUGGGCAUAUUCUCUUAUGCUCUAUAUAAGAUAAAUACAGUAAAAUAAAAGGUGAGCCGAGGUGGUGAAUUUACUGGCAAAAGGAGCUGUAGAGAUGGUUCUGCCAAAUAUAAAAUAUAACAUAAAUUCUGAAAAAACCUGGCUUACAUAACACACUAACACAUUUCUAAUAUUCAAAUCUGUUGAAGGAUUUUUAGGCUGCAUUAAUUAGGACAACCUGAACUGGGAACACUCCUAAUUACACACGAUGUACUUGCUACAUCUACACUAAUCUUAGUCUGUUUCUUUCUUAUUCUGAGGGUCACUGCAGUCACCCGGAUCCAGUACGUAUCCAGCCCAGAUGGUGGAUCAGCACCUAGAAAGGACGUCUACAUCCCUAAAAGACAGCGGAGACCAAGACAACUAGAUCAGAGACAGAUAUCAGAUGGCCAACAGGACAAGACCACUGGAAACAGAAGAUUUUUCUGCACAAUCUGACUUUGCUGCAGUCUGGUAUUGAACUGCUGGUUUCGUCUGGUCAGAGGAGAAUUGGCCCCCCAACUGAGCCUGGUUUCUCCCAAGGUUUUUUCUCCAUUCUGUCACCGAUGGAGUUUUGGUUCCUUGCUGCUGUCAGCUGUGGCUAGCUUAGUUGGGGUCACUUCAUCUACAGUGAUAUAAUUGACUUGAUUGCACAGAUACUAUUUAAACUGAACUGAGUUCAGUGAUGAACUGCCUUUAACUGAAAAUUUAGUGUUUACUAUUGUAAUUUUGCAUUAUUGACAUACUAUUUUACUAUUCAAUACUGUAAAGGGCUUUGACACAGUCUGUAUUGUUAAAAGCACUGUA